AGAAAAAAGAGAUUUUAACUCCCACCACUAACUCCCAAAGCCAGAA
rnacentral:tRNA from 1 species